rnacentral:rRNA from 1 species
GUAAGUCAGGGGUGAAAUCCCACAGCCCAACUGUGGAACUGCCUUUGAUACUGNCAGGCUUGAGUACCGGAGAGGGUGGCGGAAUUNCCAGGUGUAGGAGUGAAAUCCGUAGAUAUCUGGAGGAACACCGGUGGCGAAGGCGGCCACCUGGACGGUAACUGACGNUGAGGUGCGAAAGCGUGGGUAGCAAACAGGAUUAGAUACCCUGGUAGUCCACGCUGUAAACGAUGGGUGCUGGGUGCUGGGAUGUAUGUCUCGGUGCCGUAGCUAACGCGAUAAGCACCCCGCCUGGGGAGUACGGUCGCAAGGCUGAAACUCAAAGAAAUUGACGGGGGCCCGCACAAGCGGUGGAGUAUGUGGUUUAAUUCGAUGCAACGCGAAGAACCUUACCCAGGCUUGACAUCUAGGGAACCCUUCGGAAAUGAAGGGGUGCCCUUCGGGGAGCCCUAAGACAGGUGCUGCAUGGCUGCCGUCAGCUCGUGCCGUGAGGUGUUGGGUUAAGUCCCGCAACGAGCGCAACCCCUAUCUUCAGUUGCCAGCAGGUAAGGCUGGGCACUCUGGAGAGACCGCCCCGGUCAACGGGGAGGAAGGUGGGGACGACGUCAAGUCAUCAUGGCCCUUACGCCUGGGGCUACACACGUACUACAAUGGCGCGCACAAAGGGUAGCGAGACCGCGAGGUGGAGCCAAUCCCAAAAAACGCGUCCCAGUCCGGAUUGGAGUCUGCAACUCGACUCCAUGAAGUCGGAAUCGCUAGUAAUUCGAGAUCAGCAUGCUCGGGUGAAUGCGUUCCCGGGCCUUGUACACACCGCCCGUCACACCACGAAAGUCGGUUUUACCCGAAGCCGGUGAGCUAACUCGCAAGAGAAGCAGCCGUCUACGGUAGGGCCGAUGAUUGGGGUGAAGUCGUAACAAGGUAGCAAUCACUAGUGAAUUCGCGGCCGCCUGCAGGUCGACCAUANGGGAGAGCUCC